rnacentral:lncRNA from 1 species
UCAAAGAAUUUUUGCCAAGAGUUCAACAAUUCAAGAAUCAAUCCAAAGCUUUCACUAACAUGUGCAAUGAGGAAAAUUGCAAGAAGAAGCUUUGAGAAUAGGAGUACUUCUGAAGGCUCUUCAACAUCAAAGAUUGCUAGGAGCAUCAGUUGUUUCCCAAAUAUUGAUUCUUAAUAUGUUAAUUAGUUUGAUUUUAAGGUUUUAUGGGGAUUAAUGUCUUUGGAUUUAGCGUUAUGUCAUGUCAUUGUACUGGUUUAGGUGAGAUUAUGAGAUUGGAAAAUGCUAUGGGUACCCCAUUUUGGAUACCCCAAAUGCAUACCAUGAGAGAGAUAAAAACAAGAGAAAUGGGCCCCACACACCCCAAGUGUGUGGACCCCACCCCAAGUGUGUGGGGCCCAUUUC